UGUUUGCUGUGCUUGGUGACAUCUACAAGGACGUUAUCUGAGUAAGGCGGCUCUUAAAACGCGCCCUAUCCGUGAUUACAUCCAAACUGAAAGAGAUUCUGAGCAAACA